AUACGUAGGGGGCGAGCGUUGUCCGGAAUGAUUGGGCGUAAAGGGCGCGUAGGCGGCCCGGUAAGUCUGGAGUGAAAGUCCUGUUUUUAAGAUGGGAAUUGCUUUGGAUACUGUCGGGCUUGAGUGCAGGAGAGGUAAGUGGAAUUCCCAGUGUAGCGGUGAAAUGCGUAGAGAUUGGGAGGAACACCAGUGGCGAAGGCGACUUACUUGACUGUAACUGACGCUGAGGCGCGAAAGUGUGGGGAGCAAACAGGAUUAGAUACCCUGGUAGUCCACACUGUAAACGAUGAAUGCUAGGUGUAGGGGGUAUCGACCCCUUCUGUGCCGCAGUCAACACAAUAAGCAUUCCGCCUGGGGAGUACGGCCGCAAGGUUGAAACUCAAAUGAAUUGACGGGG
rnacentral:rRNA from 1 species